rnacentral:ncRNA from 1 species
GUGCUCGUAAAAAGGAAAGCUAGUUUGCAUAUCCCUCUACAAGGUUGGAAUCAACCUUCUU